GGCGGCGUGCCUAAUACAUGCAAGUCGAACGCACAGCGAAAGGUGCUUGCACCUUUCAAGUGAGUGGCGAACGGGUGAGUAACACGUGGACAACCUGCCUCAAGGCUGGGGAUAACAUUUGGAAACAGAUGCUAAUACCGAAUAAAACUUAGUGUCGCAUGACACAAAGUUAAAAGGCGCUUCGGCGUCACCUAGAGAUGGAUCCGCGGUGCAUUAGUUAGUUGGUGGGGUAAAGGCCUACCAAGACAAUGAUGCAUAGCCGAGUUGAGAGACUGAUCGGCCACAUUGGGACUGAGACACGGCCCAAACUCCUACGGGAGGCUGCAGUAGGGAAUCUUCCACAAUGGGCGAAAGCCUGAUGGAGCAACGCCGCGUGUGUGAUGAAGGCUUUCGGGUCGUAAAGCACUGUUGUAUGGGAAGAACAGCUAGAAUAGGAAAUGAUUUUAGUUUGACGGUACCAUACCAGAAAGGGACGGCUAAAUACGUGCCAGCAGCCGCGGUAAUACGUAUGUCCCGAGCGUUAUCCGGAUUUAUUGGGCGUAAAGCGAGCGCAGACGGUUUAUUAAGUCUGAUGUGAAAGCCCGGAGCUCAACUCCGGAAUGGCAUUGGAAACUGGUUAACUUGAGUGCAGUAGAGGUAAGUGGAACUCCAUGUGUAGCGGUGGAAUGCGUAGAUAUAUGGAAGAACACCAGUGGCGAAGGCGGCUUACUGGACUGCAACUGACGUUGAGGCUCGAAAGUGUGGGUAGCAAACAGGAUUAGAUACCCUGGUAGUCCACACCGUAAACGAUGAACACUAGGUGUUAGGAGGUUUCCGCCUCUUAGUGCCGAAGCUAACGCAUUAAGUGUUCCGCCUGGGGAGUACGACCGCAAGGUUGAAACUCAAAGGAAUUGACGGGGACCCGCACAAGCGGUGGAGCAUGUGGUUUAAUUCGAAGCAACGCGAAGAACCUUACCAGGUCUUGACAUCCUUUGAAGCUUUUAGAGAUAGAAGUGUUCUCUUCGGAGACAAAAUGACAGGUGGUGCAUGGUCGUCGUCAGCUCGUGUCGUGAGAUGUUGGGUUAAGUCCCGCAACGAGCGCAACCCUUAUUGUUAGUUGCC
rnacentral:rRNA from 1 species